GACGAAUGCUGGCGGCGUGCUUAACACAUGCAAGUCGAACGGAAAGCGCUCUUCGGAGUGACUCGAGUGGCGAACGGGUGAGUAACACGUGGGUGAUCUGCCCUGCACUUUGGGAUAAGCCUGGGAAACUGGGUCUAAUACCGGAUAGGAUCAUGGCCUUCAUGGGUUGGGGUGGCAAGCCUUUGCGGUGUGGGAUGGGCCCGCGGCCUAUGAGCUUGUUGGUGGGGUAAUGGCCUACCAAGGCGACGACGGGUAGCCGGCCUGAGAGGGUGUCCGGCCACACUGGGACUGAGAUACGGCCCAGACUCCUACGGGAGGCAGCAGUGGGGAAUAUUGCACUAUGGGCGCAAGCCUGAUGCAGCGACGCCGCGUGAGGGAUGACGGCCUUCGGGUUGUAAACCUCUUUCAACUACGACGAAACGGAGGUGACGGUAGUAGUAGAAGGAGGACCGGCCAACUACGUGCCAGCCGCCGCAGUAA
rnacentral:rRNA from 1 species